CAACGCGCGUCACUUAAGAUCGCGAAAGUGAAAGUAAGCACAGCGUCGUAUUCUUCCUGGAGUGUCGCUUCUAAAUUCAUUUUAAAUUCGUCUGCAAAGUAUCGAGCUCAUUCAAAAUGCUUUACCAGCUCAAUAUUUUAAGGAUAACAGGAGUAAAAACACUUGUCGAUGUGGCGAACUCAGAGGAGGAAUUCAGGAACACCACGGUUGAAGAGUUGAAAAGAAUCUUUUUAAAAUACGACGACGACUUAAGAAAAACGCAACUCUUAAGACUGCUCUUCGCAGGUCGUCAACUGGAGGAUUGUGAUACUCUUGGGAAACAUGGCAUUACACACAGAGCUACUAUUUUAGUCAUUUUUCGUCUACUUGGUGGAGGUCCACUUCCACCUGAAGAUGAAGAUAAAAGAAUACCCAGGACUGAAUCAAUGGAAAGAUUAGCUUCAAUGCAGCAGACUGAGCCAGAACUCAACACAUCAUGUCUGAUUCUGUAGUUCAGUUCAGCCUCAUAUAAAUCCAUACACUGUGGGCUCAUAAGUGUAAUAUCAUUUACAAUUACUACCAUAAAAUACAUACUGUAUUCUCUUCUGGUUUCAGCCUCUUAGAGUAAAAUAGUUCAUAACACCUUGUACAAAUAUGAAAAAUAUAAACAGUCACAAUGAACUGCUCACCUGUACCCAAAAACACCAUUUACAGUUAAAGAGUCAUUAGUUAACAGAAUAAUAACCCGUCCAUAAAGAACACAGAUUCACUCUGAACAUUUACUAGCAUUUCUCUUGUUAAUUAUAAAUUCUCUUGUGUUACAACAUUUGUAACUUUUGCUGAAGAGGCUGAAAUCAGAACAAAAUACAUGAUAUUGAAUUUCAAGGUAGUACAUUUGAACAAAAUAUGAACAACAGUUUUUAAGGCUCUGUUAAUAGUCUUAAAACUGACCCUUUAUUCUGUCACCAUAAAAUAAAGUGCCUCAUGGGUAUUUAAUGAUAAAGUGUUUAUCUGUAUAGUCAGGGCAGGUUUAGGGAGAGCUAGAAUCUAUCAUUGUUAGCACUUAGCAUAUCACUGAAAUACUGCUAUUUUCACUCUGUGUAAAACGCCCAUCAUAUUUCGGGUAAUAUGAUCAGACUAGUUUUAGAUUACUCUUGACCUAACUUGUUUAUCAAAUUGACUUAAACAACAUAAUCUUGUACCAUUUUGAAAUAAAAAUACAAAGAGAAAGCAAAUACAUUCCAUGUGUUGUUGUUAACAGCAUUAAGUGCAUUAAACAUUGUAUUAGAUCCCAAGUCAAGGUUUCACAAGUUAAAGUAAAUCUAUUAGGUGACAGAGGAUCAAAAGUUGUGAGUUCAUGCAUUUUAAUGUGUUUGAAAGAAAAAAACCUUCCAAAAGACAUAUCAAUACAUGUUUAAAUAACCUAAAGAGUAAUAAUGCAA